rnacentral:rRNA from 1 species
AAAUUGAAGAGUUUGAUCAUGGCUCAGAUUGAACGCUGGCGGCAGGCCUAACACAUGCAAGUCGAACGGUAACAGGAAGAAGCUUGCUUCUUUGCUGACGAGUGGCGGACGGGUGAGUAAUGUCUGGGAAACUGCCUGAUGGAGGGGGAUAACUACUGGAAACGGUAGCUAAUACCGCAUAAUGUCGCAAGACCAAAGAGGGGGACCUUCGGGCCUCUUGCCAUCGGAUGUGCCCAGAUGGGAUUAGCUAGUAGGUGGGGUAACGGCUCACCUAGGCGACGAUCCCUAGCUGGUCUGAGAGGAUGACCAGCCACACUGGAACUGAGACACGGUCCAGACUCCUACGGGAGGCAGCAGUGGGGAAUAUUGCACAAUGGGCGCAAGCCUGAUGCAGCCAUGCCGCGUGUAUGAAGAAGGCCUUCGGGUUGUAAAGUACUUUCAGCGGGGAGGAAGGGAGUAAAGUUAAUACCUUUGCUCAUUGACGUUACCCGCAGAAGAAGCACCGGCUAACUCCGUGCCAGCAGCCGCGGUAAUACGGAGGGUGCAAGCGUUAAUCGGAAUUACUGGGCGUAAAGCGCACGCAGGCGGUUUGUUAAGUCAGAUGUGAAAUCCCCGGGCUCAACCUGGGAACUGCAUCUGAUACUGGCAAGCUUGAGUCUCGUAGAGGGGGUAGAAUUCCAGGUGUAGCGGUGAAAUGCGUAGAGAUCUGGAGGAAUACCGGUGGCGAAGGCGGCCCCCUGGACGAAGACUGACGCUCAGGUGCGAAAGCGUGGGGAGCAAACAGGAUUAGAUACCCUGGUAGUCCACGCCGUAAACGAUGUCGACUUGGAGGUUGUGCCCUUGAGGCGUGGCUUCCGGAGCUAACGCGUUAAGUCGACCGCCUGGGGAGUACGGCCGCAAGGUUAAAACUCAAAUGAAUUGACGGGGGCCCGCACAAGCGGUGGAGCAUGUGGUUUAAUUCGAUGCAACGCGAAGAACCUUACCUGGUCUUGACAUCCACAGAACUUUCCAGAGAUGGAUUGGUGCCUUCGGGAACUGUGAGACAGGUGCUGCAUGGCUGUCGUCAGCUCGUGUUGUGAAAUGUUGGGUUAAGUCCCGCAACGAGCGCAACCCUUAUCCUUUGUUGCCAGCGGUCCGGCCGGGAACUCAAAGGAGACUGCCAGUGAUAAACUGGAGGAAGGUGGGGAUGACGUCAAGUCAUCAUGGCCCUUACGACCAGGGCUACACACGUGCUACAAUGGCGCAUACAAAGAGAAGCGACCUCGCGAGAGCAAGCGGACCUCAUAAAGUGCGUCGUAGUCCGGAUUGGAGUCUGCAACUCGACUCCAUGAAGUCGGAAUCGCUAGUAAUCGUGGAUCAGAAUGCCACGGUGAAUACGUUCCCGGGCCUUGUACACACCGCCCGUCACACCAUGGGAGUGGGUUGCAAAAGAAGUAGGUAGCUUAACCUUCGGGAGGGCGCUUACCACUUUGUGAUUCAUGACUGGGGUGAAGUCGUAACAAGGUAACCGUAGGGGAACCUGCGGUUGGAUCACCUCCUUACCUUAAAGAA